rnacentral:rRNA from 1 species
UACGUAGGCAGCAAGCGUUGUUCGGAAUUACUGGGCGUAAAGGGUGCGCAGGCGGUCCUGCAAGUCAGGCGUGAAAUCCCCGGGCUUAACCUGGGAAUGGCACUUGAAACUACGGGACUGGAGUAUGGCAGAGGGAGGUGGAAUUCCACGUGUAGCGGUGAAAUGCGUAGAUAUGCGGAGGAACACCGAUGGCGAAGGCAAUCCCCUGGGCCUGCACUGACGCUCAUGCACGAAAGCGUGGGGAGCAAACAGG